rnacentral:rRNA from 1 species
GACGAACGCUGGCGGCGUGCUUAACACAUGCAAGUCGAACGGGAAGGCCCUGCUUUUGUGGGGUGCUCGAGUGGCGAACGGGUGAGUAACACGUGAGUAACCUGCCCUUGACUUUGGGAUAACUUCAGGAAACUGGGGCUAAUACCGGAUAGGAGCUCCUGCUGCAUGGUGGGGGUUGGAAAGUUUCGGCGGUUGGGGAUGGACUCGCGGCUUAUCAGCUUGUUGGUGGGGUAGUGGCUUACCAAGGCUUUGACGGGUAGCCGGCCUGAGAGGGUGACCGGCCACAUUGGGGCUGAGAUACGGCCCAGACUCCUACGGGAGGCAGCAGUGGGGAAUAUUGCACAAUGGGCGGGAGCCUGAUGCAGCAACGCCGCGUGCGGGAUGACGGCCUUCGGGUUGUAAACCGCUUUCGCCUGUGACGAAGCGUGAGUGACGGUAAUGGGUAAAGAAGCACCGGCUAACUACGUGCCAGCAGCCGCGGUGAUACGUAGGGUGCGAGCGUUGUCCGGAUUUAUUGGGCGUAAAGGGCUCGUAGGUGGUUGAUCGCGUCGGAAGUGUAAUCUUGGGGCUUAACCCUGAGCGUGCUUUCGAUACGGGUUGACUUGAGGAAGGUAGGAGAGAAUGGAAUUCCUGGUGGAGCGGUGGAAUGCGCAGAUAUCAGGAGGAACACCAGUGGCGAAGGCGGUUCUCUGGGCCUUUCCUGACGCUGAGGAGCGAAAGCGUGGGGAGCGAACAGGCUUAGAUACCCUGGUAGUCCACGCUGUAAACGGUGGGUACUAGGUGUGGGGUCCAUUCCACGGGUUCCGUGCCGUAGCUAACGCUUUAAGUACCCCGCCUGGGGAGUACGGCCGCAAGGCUAAAACUCAAAGGAAUUGACGGGGCCCCGCACAAGCGGCGGAGCAUGCGGAUUAAUUCGAUGCAACGCGUAGAACCUUACCUGGGUUUGACAUGGAUCGGGAGCGCUCAGAGAUGGGUGUGCCUCUUUUGGGGUCGGUUCACAGGUGGUGCAUGGCUGUCGUCAGCUCGUGUCGUGAGAUGCUGGGUUAAGUCCCGCAACGAGCGCAACCCUUGUUCACUGUUGCCAGCACGUUAUGGUGGGGACUCAGUGGAGACCGCCGGGGUCAACUCGGAGGAAGGUGGGGAUGACGUCAAGUCAUCAUGCCCCUUAUGUCCAGGGCUUCACGCAUGCUACAAUGGCUGGUACAGAGAGUGGCGAGCCUGUGAGGGUGAGCGAAUCUCGGAAAGCCGGUCUCAGUUCGGAUUGGGGUCUGCAACUCGACCUCAUGAAGUCGGAGUCGCUAGUAAUCGCAGAUCAGCAACGCUGCGGUGAAUACGUUCCCGGG